rnacentral:rRNA from 1 species
AUUGAACGCUGGCGGCAUGCUUUACACAUGCAAGUCGAACGGCAGCGAGGAGAAGCUUGCUUCUCUGUCGGCGAGUGGCGAACGGGUGAGUAUAGCAUCGGAACGUGCCAAGUAGUGGGGGAUAACCAAACGAAAGUUUGGCUAAUACCGCGUAAGCUCUAAGGAGGAAAGUAGGGGACCUAAAUAAGGCCUUACGCUAUUUGAUCGGCCGAUGUCGGAUUAGCUAGUUGGUGGGGUAAUGGCUCACCAAGGCAAUGAUCCGUAGCGGGUCUGAGAGGACGAUCCGCCACACUGGGACUGAGACACGGCCCAGACUCCUACGGGAGGCAGCAGUGGGGAAUUUUGGACAAUGGGGGAAACCCUGAUCCAGCCAUGCCGCGUGUAUGAAGAAGGCCUUAGGGUUGUAAAGUACUUUUGUUAGGGAAGAAAAGCUAGUUUUUAAUAAAAAGUAGUGAUGACGGUACCUAAAGAAUAAGCACCGGCUAACUACGUG